rnacentral:rRNA from 1 species
GACGAACGCUGGCGGCGUGCUUAACACAUGCAAGUCGAACGGAAAGGCCCUGCUUUUGUGGGGUGCUCGAGUGGCGAACGGGUGAGUAACACGUGAGUAACCUGCCCUUGACUUUGGGAUAACUUCAGGAAACUGGGGCUAAUACCGGAUAGGAGCUCCUGCUGCAUGGUGGGGGUUGGAAAGUUUCGGCGGUUGGGGAUGGACUCGCGGCUUAUCAGCUUGUUGGUGGGGUAGUGGCUUACCAAGGCUUUGACGGGUAGCCGGCCUGAGAGGGUGACCGGCCACAUUGGGACUGAGAUACGGCGCAGACUCCUACGGGAGGCAGCAGUGGGGAAUAUUGCACAAUGGGCGGAAGCCUGAUGCAGCAACGCCGCGUGCGGGAUGACGGCCUUCGGGUUGUAAACCGCUUUCGCCUGUGACGAAGCGUGAGUGACGGUAAUGGGUAAAGAAGCACCGGCGAACUACGU